rnacentral:rRNA from 1 species
UACGUAGGGGGCGAGCGUUGUCCGGAUUUAUUGGGCGUAAAGAGCGUGUAGGCGGCCAGGUAGGUCUGCUGUGAAAACUCGAGGCUCAACCUCGAGACGUCGGCGGAAACCAUCUGGCUAGAGUCCGGAAGAGGAGAGUGGAAUUCCCAGUGUAGCGGUGAAAUGCGUAGAUAUUGGGAGGAACACCAGUGGCGAAGGCGGCUACCUGGACCGGUUCUGACGCUGAUGCGCGAAAGCGUGGGUAGCAAACAGG